UUUUUUUUUUUUUUUUUUCCCUAGAGGGCAGGACAUGGUGUUUGAGACCAGAAAUCCGUGCCUGGUAAGAUUUUCGUCUCGAAAAGCUACCCUAAGAAUUGCAGAGCUUGCUCUGAAGAACAUCCCUUAAAGUUCAAAUUGAAGGGACGGUCCUUUAACCCCACAGACGAGAUGGAGCUCAUCUCGCGGGAGAUUUCUUAAUGGGCAGCGGUUAACCAGGUACCCAUGCUUGACCCUUCUUCACACCAGACUUCCUCAUAUAGAAGAAAAACCCUUUAAAAAAAAAAAAAAAAGAAAAGAAAAAAAAGAAAAAAAAAAAAAAACCUCAUGUGGUUGUUUAGUUUCAUGCACAGUUGCAAUAUUUUUCUUCAAACAAACUCUGUACAAACUUUGGGCCCGAUUCAUAAAAGCUCAAUUGCUACCUCUGAGCUCUAGAGAAAACCUUCGUAAAGGACAACACUUGUAUACAGUGUGAACUUUUGUACUUUGUACGCUUUUUUUUAGGGAAGACUGUUUUCCACUUAGUUAAUCUUCUAUGCUCGAGCAUGAACAAAAACAAUUGUGUCAGUGAAAUUCCCCCUUUUAUCUGCAUCCACAAAUUAAUAUGAGGGGAAAAAACGAAGAUGAGUUUCUAGAUGGAGCAUGGUAGGAAGCGUCCCCAGCUUAGCACCUGCCUCGCCACUGCAGGCGGCCCUUGGGGAAAGGCUGCAGGAUUCCUGGCUUUGGGAAUGCCACCAGGAGCGGUCACCACGUUGGGUGGCUCCGCGGUUUCCCCCAUGGCCGAGCUCAGCCCCAGCCCCAGCCGCUUUCUGAGCCUGGUCCAGCCGAGUCCCUCGGUGUCACUUUUCAAUCCGGGGCACUAAAAUUUCCACUGGCCGCGGGAAAGAUCUGCUGCAAAUUCACUUGACACCCGUGUUAAUACCAUGUCGUGUUCAUUUUUUUAUGAGUCAGGCCCCUCGUGCCUCUAGUAUACUUGUAUUGACUCUCAUAGUUACCAUUUUAGUUUUACUGUGUUCUGUGAAAAAAAUUGUAAUUGGUUGAGAAUCACUGUGGGCAUCCAUUCUUAUUCAACUAAGUCUCCGCAGGUUUUUUGAGCUGGUGUGGAUUAGUUUAACUCUUGUAUUCAACCAUUAGUGCUACCACCUUCUCACAUUACAAUACAAUUACUGGAAGCAAGUACUGCAUUUCCUAUGCAACAAAAAAGGAAAAUAAAAAAUUGCUAAUGC
ensembl:lncRNA